rnacentral:lncRNA from 1 species
CAAAAUCGAACAGAACUUAAUCUGACAAUUCAAACCCGAGAGCAAUCAUUUCUCUUUACCAAAUUUUAAAAUAUAUUUAUACUUCAAUCUAAAAUUUCAAGUUACGACAUAAUAUAAAGCCUUAUCCAAUUUGGGUUUAGAUUCGGGUCAGGUAUAGAUAAAUAUCAUAUCCGAAUUCACAAUAGUCAGGUUUUAUUUUUGUAACGCCCCAAUAGUCCCAUAUCGGAUGAAAAAAUAAUUUUGAAUAGAAUAUAUGAGGCUUCAUGCGCUAGUAAUAAUAAUUAGGCUUAAAAAUUUUGAGACAGUAAUUGUUUAGACCCAAUAUCUUCGUAGAGUUUGUCAUUGUCAUGGCUUUCUUUGCUGUUGUAAAUUUAGUUUUAAAAUUUUAAUUUUGUCAAUUUACUAUCUUCUAUAGUAUUAGCCCGCCGCAAUUUGUAAAUAUCUAUUUCAUAUUUUAUAUUUGGAUUUAUUAAUAU